UACAGAGGGGGCAAGCGUUAUUAGGAAUUAUUGGGCGUAAAGGGCGCGUAGGCGGCCUGGCAAGUGGAAGGUGAAAUCCCUCGGCUUAACCGAGGAACUGCCCUCCAAACUGCUUGGCUUGAGACCGGGAGAGGUGAGUGGAAUUCCCAGUGUAGCGGUGAAAUGCGUAGAUAUUGGGAGGAACACCAGUGGCGAAGGCGGGUCUCUGGACAGUUCCUGACACUGAGGCACGAAGGCCAGGGGAGCAAACGGG
rnacentral:rRNA from 1 species